AGAACCUCCAUGCAUGAAAAACAUGCGUUUCGCCGGAGUCUGGGCUCUCUCGCGAACAAUGGAUGACGUCACUGCUACGUCACUCACGUGUGACGUCACCUGAAGACUUUUUUUCCCUAAGUUAGUUUUGACUUUUCCCCGUGUCGCCACGGAGUGCCUAGUAUGUCACGUGCUUGAUGAAUUUCGUCCCUAAUGUCCUAGUGUCAUCUUCACCUCCGCCGGCGCUGUCUCCGCGCACGUACGCGCACGUGUCACGAAGUGUCGUCGGUGUCGUCAAGUAGCCGCAAAAGUCAAUACUCCCAUGAAAUGCGACGUUUGUGGCGUUGGCCUGUCUUCACUGGAAAAAUAUGGGGAGCACCACAUCGCAGCGCACAAAUUCGCCGCCGAAUACGUGCAGCAGGCGUUCCACAAAGAUAAAGAAUUCAGUGAAUGGAAAGCUCAGGAAGAGGCGAACUGUUGGUUUGUUCUUCACACGGCUCCCAAAAAGCUGGCCAGUGGGGAAACGAGGAGCCACUACUACUCUAAUAGAUCAGGAGUGGCUAGGCCAAAGGAAGGUCAUGGUAAUCGUCGAGAAAAAAGUCAGGGUACCUGCAAGUCCGGUAAGAUAUGUCUUUCAUUUAUUACUGUGACGAAGAAGGAGAACACUCAGAGCCCGGCACCUGAAGAUAUCACCAUAAAUGUAAGGUACCAAAGAAAGCAUUAUGGCCAUGAAGCAGAAAUUCAGC